GCAGUGGUUGUUCAGUGGUAGAAUCCUCCCUUUCAAUGAAGAAGACCUGGUUUGAUUCCUGGCCGAUGCA
rnacentral:tRNA from 1 species